UUGCCCUACGGGGGGCAGCAGUGGGGGAUAUUGCACAAUGGGGGGAACCCUGAUGCAGCGACGCCGCGUGGGUGAAGAAGCGUUUCGGCGCGUAAAGCCCUGUCAGCAGGGAAGAAGAAGGACGGUACCUGACCAAGAAGCCCCGGCUAACUACGUGCCAGCAGCCGCGGUAAUACGUAGGGGGCAAGCGUUAUCCGGAUUUACUGGGUGUAAAGGGGGCGCAGACGGCGAUGCAAGCCAGGAGUGAAAGCCCGGGGCCCAACCCCGGGCCUGCCCUUGGACCUGCGUGGCUGGAG
rnacentral:rRNA from 1 species